rnacentral:rRNA from 1 species
UACAGAGGUCCCAAGCGUUGUUCGGAUUCACUGGGCGUAAAGGGUGCGUAGGUGGUCGGGUAAGUCUGAUGUGAAAUCUCUGGGCUCAACCCAGAAAUGGCAUUGGAUACUAUCCGGCUAGAGGAUCGGAGGGGGGACUGGAAUUCUCGGUGUAGCAGUGAAAUGCGUAGAGAUCGGGAGGAAGGCCGGUGGCGAAGGCGGCGCUCUGGAACAUUUCUGACGCUGAGGCUCGAAAGCGUGGGGAGCAAACAGG